UGUGUACUCCCUCCGUUCCAAAAUACUUAACUUCCAUUUGUCCAAAAAUGGAUGUACCUAUAUACUAAAACAUGUCUAGAUACAUCUAUAUUUUGACAAAUAGAAGGCAUGUAUUGUGGAACGGAGGGAGUAGAAU
rnacentral:pre_miRNA from 1 species